GUCCUUCACCAUGGCAACUCGGGCGUCGGGAGCGUGGGCUGCGAGCCGAGUGGGUGGGGGAGCCGCCGGGCUCUAUCCGCCAGCCCACGAGAAGUGACGCAGGAGCACCAUUGAAGGAGAAUUAGACAAACUGGAGUCUACUGAGAUGAGGCUGUUGGGAAUGGCCCUGGUACCACAUCCUGAGCAGGGAUGGCCGAUGGAAUGGGGAGAAGACUCAGGUGGGGCUUGAGUGUGUCCUCUGAUGACUGAAGAGCCUUGGGAGCAAGCAUCCUUCCUGCUACUGUGUGUUUGCUGGUUCCAAUGAUACAUAAUUUGUGCUUUUCGUAAUUAAAGUAUUAUCCUGUAGAUCUUGAUGGUGUUGACUACUUCCCCUUGGAGGCGUGUGACCUGGAGAUGAGGUUAGCGUAUCCCACCACCACGUUUCCC
rnacentral:lncRNA from 1 species